rnacentral:rRNA from 1 species
UACAGAGGGGGCAAGCGUUGUUCGGAAUUACUGGGCGUAAAGGGCGCGUAGGCGGCCUUCUAAGUCGAACGUGAAAUCCCCGGGCUCAACCCGGGAACUGCGUCCGAUACUGGAAGGCUUGAAUCCGGGAGAGGGAUGCGGAAUUCCAGGUGUAGCGGUGAAAUGCGUAGAUAUCUGGAGGAACACCGGUGGCGAAGGCGGCAUCCUGGACCAUUACUGACACUGAAAAGCGAAAGCCAGGGGAGCAAACGGG